rnacentral:rRNA from 1 species
UGGGGGAUAUUGCACAAUGGGGGAAACCCUGAUGCAGCGACGCCGCGUGAGUGAAGAAGUAUUUCGGUAUGUAAAGCUCUAUCAGCAGGGAAGAAGAUGACAGUACCUGAGUAAGAAGCCCCGGCUAACUACGUGCCAGCAGCCGCGGUAAUACGUAGGGGGCAAGCGUUAUCCGGAUUUACUGGGUGUAAAGGGAGCGUAGACGGCUAUGUAAGUCUGGAGUGAAAGCCCGGGGCCCAACCCCGGGACUGCUUUGGAAACUGUGUAGCUGGAGUACAGGAGGGGCAGGCGGAAUUCCUGGUGUAGCGGUGAAAUGCGUAGAUAUCAGGAGGAACACCGGCGGCGAAGGCGGCCUGCUGGACUGAAACUGACGUUGAGGCUCGAAAGCGUGGGGAGCAAACAGG